UUUACGGCCUGGCUUAGUCUAGGAGUAACUGAGAAUGUCAUUAGGAAUGAGUAGAUAGCUUAUCUUCCAGGCUUCAGUGGUCUAAAAUUAAAAACAAAAGGCAGAGGAUGGAGUGGAGCUUCGCACGUGUUUCCUCAAACGUCAGGGUUUGCAAGGUGCCUGCAUCGUGUCUGGAACAUAACAGACGAUCAACAAAUAUUAGAUCCCUUUGCUUCCCUUCUGUUGGAUGCAGGAUCAGUCCAGUUCCACAAUCAACUCCUUCCCUUUCACACAGCCUCCAUCUUGAUGUUCCUAAUAGUCUGAGUUCUACUCACGAGGCAUCACUGAGUUGAAUUUCAGCUUGCUUUCCUUCCUUUCUUCCCUCCCUCCUUCCUUCCUUCCACAAAUACUCUAUUAAUACAUAGUGGGCACCAUUGUGUUUUCUGGGUACAAAACAGUGAAUAGGAAAAAAAUCUCUGCCCUUACAGAGUUUACGUGCUAGCAGGGGAGACACACAAUAAACACAUAAACAUGAAAGGCAAAAUAUUGUAAGAUAGUGAAGAAAUAAAUAAGUAGGGCUUAGGAGUAGAGAGUGAGGGAGGGGGCCAUCAUUUUAGAUAGGGUAGUCUUGGUGGGCCUCUCAGAGCCUGAAUAAAGUGGGCCACACCACAAAUGUCCUAGAGCUCCAAGGUGCCAAAAUUUCACAGAAGCUUGUGGUGAAGUGAGGGAGAGGCCCACUGUCUAUUUUGUUAUGCUCACUUAUCUGGCCUAAGCUGUGCCAAAGAGAUGCCCCUAGGAAUACGAACUCUCUGUAGGUUGAUGGAACCAUAACUCGGUAAGGUCGCCAUAUUCCACCAAGAGUGCCUGUGAAGUAGAGAAAUUAGCCUGCAGAGCGAGAGAGAAGAAAGUGCUUGUAGAGUCAGAAGCAGAGAUGAGACCCUAACAGCUUUGCAGACUCUGUUUCCAGCCUUGUGGGCCUGGCUCCGUUCCUGCCCUUCAUUCUGUAAGACACUCUGUAACCUUACGAUAAAUGCCUCUUUUCCCUCUUUGUGCUUGACGUAGUUCAACUCGGAUUUUGUUGAUGAAAUCAGAGUCUUGAUCAAUUAUCACCCUCUCCUAUGCCUGAGGGAUGUGUAAUAAAUUUUAAAAGCAAAUAUAUAUAUAAAAGGAGGAAAUGAUGGUUAAUUUUAUAUGUCAACUUGACUAGGCUUAGGGAUGCCCACAUAGCUGGUAAAACAUUAUUUCUGGCAGUGUCUGUGAGAGUGUAUCUGGAAGAGAUUAGCAUUUGAUUCAGUAGACUGAGUAAGGAGAUCCAUCCUCAGCAACGUGGGUGUGCAUCAUCUAAUCUGUCGGGACCCGAAUGGAGCAAAAAGCUGGUGGAAGGGUGAAUUCUCUCUCUCUUCAUGAGCGUGGAUGUCCACCUUCUACUGCCCUCAGAUAUUGGAGCUCCUGGUUCUUUGAUCUUUCACUCAGGAACUUAGACCAGGGGUCCCCCAGUUCUCAGGCCUUCAGACCCAGACUGAAUUAUACCACUGGGUUUCCUGGUUCUCCAGCUUGCAGAUGGCAGAGCUUGGGACUUUUUAGCCUCUAUAACCACGUGAGCCAAUUCCUA
ensembl:lncRNA